rnacentral:rRNA from 1 species
CAGCCGCCGCGGGAAUACGGAGGGUGCAAGCGUUAAUCGGAAUUACUGGGCGUAAAGCGCACGCAGGCGGUCUGACAAGUCAGAUGUGAAAUCCCCGGGCUUAACCUGGGAACUGCAUUUGAAACUGUCAGGCUGGAGUCUUGUAGAGGGGGGUGGAAUUCCAGGUGUAGCGGUGAAAUGCGUAGAGAUCUGGAGGAAUACCGGUGGCGAAGGCGGCCCCCUGGACAAAGACUGACGCUCAGGUGCGAAAGCGUGGGGAGCAAACAGGAUUAGAGACCCGAGUAGUCCCUGUCUCUUAUAA